AGCGAGCCAGCGGACUCUUCCGUACGCUGACGUCCAGCCAUGUAUCAAAUUACUACUCUUGCGGGAACAGAAGUCUCCCUACGGUGAAUAUUCUGUGCUAUCCGUCAUAGGACGCUGCAACCGCUGUACAGGGUUAUGUCUUCUCUGCUUCAAUCCCUGGCUAAUUAUACAGACGAUAUGUUAUAGAAGAUAAAUACAGUCGGUUCGAGUCAUGCAAGUGCAAGUACAUCUCAAGGAUUACAGCUGGGCUGCGUAUCCCUUCCGUUCUGAGACCACUCACAGAUUCAGUGGCAGCAGUGGGAUCGAAGGAGACUUCCAUCAGCUUUGAGAACAACAGGAAACUCAGGAGCUAAGUGGAACUUGACUCUUCUUUUGCUGCAACUACAGAUACUGCUGAGUGAAUUGGUAAAGACGGCACUGGAGAACAAGCGAUUGUGUCUCAAUGAGGCAAAGAGGCAGUAAUUAAUGCUCUCAAAAACCAGCUGCAUCCUUUAUAUUGUCCAUAGCUCAGUAAGUUUUUGGUUUGGACGAGUGGGAGGGGAGGAGCGCUGGGCAAGGACCCGCAGACGACAGGCUAUCACUCUGGUGCAGUGCGCAGUCUGGCUGUACGCUCCCACCUCACGCUACGGCAUCACCCACCAUCUGGGGACCACCACAUCGACCCAUCACCGUAUAG